UACGUAGGGUGCGAGCGUUGUCCGGAAUUAUUGGGCGUAAAGGGCUCGUAGGCGGUCUGUCACGUCAGGAGUGAAAACUCGGGGCUCAACCCCGAGCCUGCUUCUGAUACGGGCAGACUGGAGGUAUGCAGGGGAGAACGGAAUUCCUGGUGUAGCGGUGAAAUGCGCAGAUAUCAGGAGGAACACCGGUGGCGAAGGCGGUUCUCUGGGCAUUACCUGACGCUGAGGAGCGAAAGUGUGGGGAG
rnacentral:rRNA from 2 species